rnacentral:tRNA from 1 species
GUGGGUAUAGCUCAGUGGUAGAGCACAUGCUUAGCAUGCAUUGGGGUUCAAUCCCCAGUACCUCCA